GAUGAACGCUGGCGGCGUGCCUAAUACAUGCCAGUCGAGCGAACAGACGAGGAGCUUGCUCCUCUGACGUUAGCGGCGGACGGGUGAGUAACACGUGGAUAACCUACCUAUAAGACUGGGAUAACUUCGGGAAACCGGAGCUAAUACCGGAUAAUAUAUUGAACCGCAUGGUUCAAUAGUGAAAGACGGUUUUGCUGUCACUUAUAGAUGGAUCCGCGCCGCAUUAGCUAGUUGGUAAGGUAACGGCUUACCAAGGCAACGAUGCGUAGCCGACCUGAGAGGGUGAUCGGCCACACUGGAACUGAGACACGGUCCAGACUCCUACGGGAGGCAGCAGUAGGGAAUCUUCCGCAAUGGGCGAAAGCUUGACGGAGCAACGCCGCGUGAGUGAUGAGGGUCUUCGGAUCGUAAAACUCUGUUAUUAGGGAAGAACAAAUGUGUAAGUAACUAUGCACGUCUUGACGGUACCUAAUCAGAAAGCCACGGCUAACUACGUG
rnacentral:rRNA from 1 species